rnacentral:pre_miRNA from 1 species
GGAGAAUCUGUUAAGCUCAGGAGGGAUAGCGCCAUGAUAUAUAUUGAUGCAGUUUCUAUUGUCUUCAAUAUUGGUCUUUGGCGCUAUCCAUCCUGAGUUUCAUGGGUUCUUC